rnacentral:rRNA from 1 species
GAUGAACGCUGGCGGCGUGCCUAAUACAUGCAAGUCGAGCGAACAGACUAGGAGCUUGCUCCUCUGACGUUAGCGGCGGACGGGUGAGUAACACGUGGAUAACCUACCUAUAAGACUGGGAUAACUUCGGGAAACCGGAGCUAAUACCGGAUAAUAUAUUGAACCGCAUGGUUCAAUAGUAAAAGACGGUUUUGCUGUCACUUAUAGAUGGAUCCGCGCCGCAUUAGCUAGUUGUUACGGUAACGGCUUACCAAGGCAACGAUGCGUAGCCGACCUGAGAGGGUGAUCGGCCACACUGGAACUGAGACACGGUCCAGACUACUACGGGAGGCAGCAGUAGGGAAUCUUCCGCAAUGGGCGAAAGCCUGACGGAGCAACGCCGCGUGAGGGAUGAAGGUCUUCGGAUCGUAAAACUCUGUUAUUAGGGAAGAACAAAUGUGUAAGUAACUAUGCACGUCUUGACGGUACCUAAUCAGAAAGCCACGGCUAACUACGUG